rnacentral:misc_RNA from 1 species
GAUGAAGAACGCAGCGAAAUGCGAUAAGUAAUGCGAAUUGCAGAAUUCAGUGAAUCAUCGAAUCUUUGAACGCACAUUGCGCCCGCCAGUAUUCUGGCGGGCAUGCCUGUUCGAGCGUCAUUACAACCCUCAGGCCCCCGGGCCUGGCGUUGGGGAUCGGCGGAAGCCCCCUGUGGGCACACGCCGUCCCUCAAAUACAGUGGCGGUCCCGCCGCAGCUUCCAUUGCGUAGUAGCUAACACCUCGCAACUGGAGAGCGGCGCGGCCAUGCCGUAAAACACCCAACUUCUGAAUGUUGACCUCGAAUCAGGUAGGAAUACCCGCUGAACUUAAGCAUAUCAAUAAGCGGAGGA